rnacentral:rRNA from 1 species
AUUGAACGCUGGCGGCAUGCCUUACACAUGCAAGUCGAACGGUAACAGGUCUUCGGAUGCUGACGAGUGGCGAACGGGUGAGUAAUACAUCGGAACGUGCCUAGUAGUGGGGGAUAACUACUCGAAAGAGUGGCUAAUACCGCAUGAGAUCUACGGAUGAAAGCAGGGGAUCGCAAGACCUUGUGCUACUAGAGCGGCCGAUGGCAGAUUAGGUAGUUGGUGGGAUAAAAGCUUACCAAGCCGACGAUCUGUAGCUGGUCUGAGAGGACGAUCAGCCACACUGGGACUGAGACACGGCCCAGACUCCUACGGGAGGCAGCAGUGGGGAAUUUUGGACAAUGGGCGCAAGCCUGAUCCAGCAAUGCCGCGUGCAGGAAGAAGGCCUUCGGGUUGUAAACUGCUUUUGUACGGAGCGAAAAGGCUCCCUCUAAUACAGGGGGCCCAUGACGGUACCGUAAGAAUAAGCACCGGCUAACUACGUGCCAGCCGCCGCGGUAACAC